ensembl:lncRNA
GGGGGAGAAGCUCUGCUCCAGCCUUGGCAGCUCACAUGUGCCCCGACCUCCCUGGUUCUGCAUUUGCAAGGCUGCACCAGCAGUUCCCACGCUCCUCCUGCACAUGACUGUGGGUUAGCUGGGCUCAAGACUCUGCUCAGAUCCUCUGAGGUCUGUUUUCUUCAUAGUCAUCUUCUGUAAGUACCAGAUUCUACAAUGGUGGCCUUAUGGGAUUACGCACUUCUGGAUAUUUGGGCGAAAUGUUCAGUUAUACAAUCUCCUGUCUUCAGCUCCGGCCGACAGCAGAUCCUUCAGCAAGGAUACAAAAAGAGGGCAAAUAUGUACUGCUACUUCUCCAGAGCACUGUCCCUGCCACCAGUCCCUUCUGACAUGGGGUUUCUGAAGCCAAGGGAGCAAGUUUUCAGUUCAAUGACACAGCAUGAGCAUUUCUUCUCCAGAUUUUUCUUUUAGACGCAUAAACUACUCAUCACUGCAACAUCUUCUGUCAAAGAAGUCCACAUCUUGAUGACCCAUUAUGCAAAAGACCACCUUCAUUCUUGUCGUCCUCUGAAGCACCAGUGGCAUUGUUUUCAUGGCCACCUCAGACCAUCUUACCCUGUUGCCAGGAGGCUGUCAGGAGCUCCCAAAUUUCACAUCCACCAUCACAUCCCCUUCAGUUCAGCAGAGACGUUGGUGACUGCCUGAAGCAGCGAAAAGGAAGAAGAGGAAUCUUAUGGCCUUAUCCAGGACAUUGAGUUCUGUGGUCCAAGGGUUCCUUCGUGUCCACGAAGCUGUGAAUCACCCCUGAAGGAGCCAAAGAUAACUUAGCUCUGGUGGAAGCAUCUGCACCCUGGUGAACGAAGUGAAGCAAUCCCUAUCCCACAUCACGCACCUUGGAUGCUUCCAGCUGCUUUGUGCAAUGUGGCUGAAACUGGUCUACUCUAUCUAACCAACUUUUGGAAGGUUUGAAAGCUGGGGGAGGAAGGGGUACAAACACAUACAUUGACGAUGCAGUGAUGGAACCAACCAGGAAUGCCAAGGACAUGCCAGUGAGUGACCCCUCUUUGAAAGUGAAUUGCCCUUCACAAGGAGAUGCCUAGAGCAACUCUAAAGCCAAGAACAACCCUACAGCGAAGGCAGCUUCUUGUAUCCUUUGGUCUCUCUGUCAUUGCUCUGGGACAUGGACUACCUCUGUUCCUCUCAGCCACAAUCCUGUGUCACUCUGGGACGUCCUCCUGCUUGUGCAGAGCGAGGUAAAUGCCCUGGGGUGAGUUACACUGUUGUAGUAUGGCUCAUUUCCUUCCCCAGUUUCUCAUUUGCAAGCUCUGCAGGGAAAUCUACAUUUUCCACAACGAGAGUGAAUAUUGGGUGAGUCGCUCCAUUCCAGAAAUAAACUUAAAUGCUUUCCUAAUUUCCUAACAUAAUAUGUUUUUCCCUUUUAUUUUAAUAAAAAAUAACAAUAAUAAAACAAAGCACCCUUUCUCCGUUUCUCUUCCUUACACAAACACAUAAUCCUGGUGCCUUAAUGUCUCAUCAAGAAAAUCCAGACUGGAGGCUGCAGCCAGGACUCUGUGCCACCUCGAUAUUUUGGACACAUAUUUGGACUCACAUAUGCACACAUUUUGCCUUCCCUGCCUCAGCAGGACAAGACUUCAGAUCUUUUCUUGCAUCCACAAGCUUGAAUGGAUACACCGAGCCUCAGCAGGGAAAGGUCAUUUCCACUCAUUGACAUUCACACUGUCUCCCCAUUUGUAUGCUUCGAGAGAUAUUUAUAUUUAAAAAGCAUCAGCCUGGCUAAGGAGAGACUUUCCAUUUGUCAGGAUUUCUGGGAAAAGGGAAAUUUCACACCUGUAGGAAUAUGGAUUUUUGACAGAAAAAAAGAAGAAAUCCUGAUGUAUCUUCUCCUAAUGGCCCUGCUCAGUUACUGGAUUGAGGCUGCUGCCAGUCCUGUGGAACGGCUUCCCAGAAAAGAGGGGUUUUCU